GCUGUAUCACGUUGAAACACUGGUUCUUGUAUUAUCACUGAAGUUAAGCAAUGUUGAGCCUGAUCAGUACCUUGAUGGGUGACUGCUUGGGAAUCAGAGGUGCUGUAAG